rnacentral:rRNA from 1 species
GACAGAGGUGCCGAGCGUUAGGCGGAAUCACUGGGCUUAAAGCGUGUGUAGGCGGGUCGUUAAGUGCCUUGUGAAAUCCCACAGCUCACCUGUGGAACUGCUUGGCAUACUGGCGAUCUUGAGCCACUUAGGGGCAACCGGAACAAACGGUGGAGCGGUGAAAUGCGUAGAUAUCAGGAAGAACACCCGUGGCUAAGGCGGUUCUCUAGUACGGUACUGACGCUGAGACGCGAAAGCGUGGGGAGCGAACAGG